rnacentral:rRNA from 1 species
UAUGGGUGACCUCAGAU